CUACCCGUUUGGAAUUAAGCAUAUCAAUAAGCGGAGGAAAAGAAACCAACCGGGAUUGCCUCAGUAACGGCGAGUGAAGCGGCAAGAGCUCAAAUUUGAAAGCUGGCUCCUUCGGGGUCCGCAUUGUAAUUUGCAGAGGAUGCUUCGGGUGCGGCCCCUGUCUAAGUGCCCUGGAACGGGCCGUCAGAGAGGGUGAGAAUCCCGUCUGGGAUGGGGUGUCCGCGCCCGUGUGAAGCUCCUUCGACGAGUCGAGUUGUUUGGGAAUGCAGCUCUAAAUGGGUGGUAAAUUUCAUCUAAAGCUAAAUAUUGGCCGGAGACCGAUAGCGCACAAGUAGAGUGAUCGAAAGAUGAAAAGCACUUUGAAAAGAGAGUUAAACAGCACGUGAAAUUGUUGAAAGGGAAGCGCUUGCGACCAGACUCGCCCGCGGGGUUCAGCCGGCAUUCGUGCCGGUGUACUUCCCCGUGGGCGGGCCAGCGUCGGUUUGGGCGGCCGGUCAGCGGCUCCCGGAAUGUAGCGCCUCUCGGGGCGCCUUAUAGCCGGGGGUGCAGUGCGGCCAGCCUGGACCGAGGAACGCGCUUCGGCCACGGACGGGU
rnacentral:rRNA from 1 species